UACGAAGGGGGGCUAGCGUUGCUCGGAAUCACUGGGCGUAAAGCGCACGUAGGCGGAUUGUUAAGUCGGGGGUGAAAUCCUGGAGCUCAACUCCAGAACUGCCUUCGAUACUGGCGAUCUUGAGUCCGGGGAGAGGUGAGUGGAACUCCGAGUGUAGAGGUGAAAUCCGUAGAUAUUCGGAAGAACACCAGUGGCGAAGGCGGCUCACUGGCCCGGUACUGACGCUGAGGGUGCGAAAGGCGUGGGGGAGC
rnacentral:rRNA from 1 species